UACGAAGGGAGCUAGCGUUGUUCGGAAUUACUGGGCGUAAAGGGCGCGUAGGCGGCUCUGUAAGUCAGAUGUGAAAGCCCCGGGCUUAACCUGGGAACUGCAUUUGAUACUGCAAGGCUAGAGGAUGAGAGAGGAAAGUGGAAUUACGAGUGUAGAGGUGGAAUUCGUAGAUAUUCGUAAGAACACCAGUGGCGAAGGCGGCUUUCUGGCUCAUUACUGACGCUAAGGCGCGAAGGCUUGGGUAGCAAACAGG
rnacentral:rRNA from 1 species